rnacentral:rRNA from 1 species
AGUGAACGCUGGCGGUAGGCCUAACACAUGCAAGUCGAACGGCAGCACAGUAAGAGCUUGCUCUUACGGGUGGCGAGUGGCGGACGGGUGAGGAAUACAUCGGACUCUACUUUUUCGUGGGGGAUAACGUAGGGAAACUUACGCUAAUACCGCAUACGACCUCCGGGUGAAAGCAGGGGAUCUUCGGACCUUGCGCGAUUGAAUGAGCCGAUGUCGGAUUAGCUAGUUGGCGGGGUAAAGGCACACCAAGGCGACGAUCCGUAGCUGGUCUGAGAGGAUGAACAGCCAAACUGGAACUGAGACACGGUCCAGACUCCGACGGGAGGCAGCAGUGGGGAAUAUUGGACAAUGGGCGCAAGCCUGAUCCAGCCAUACCGCGUGGGUGAAGAAGGCCUUCGGGUUGGAAAGCCCUUUUGUUGGGAAAGAAAAGCAGCAGGUUAAUACCCCGCUGUUCUGACGGUACCCAAAGGAUAAGCACCGGCUAACUUCGUG